UACGUAGGGGGCUAGCGUUGUCCGGAAUCAUUGGGCGUAAAGCGCGUGUAGGCGGUCCGGUAAGUCUGCUGUGAAAGUCGGGGGCUCAACCCUCGAAUGCCGGUGGAUACUGUCGGGCUAGAGUGCGGAAGAGGCGAGUGGAAUUCCUGGUGUAGCGGUGAAAUGCGCAGAUAUCAGGAGGAACACCUAUGGCGAAGGCAGCUCGCUGGGACGUUACUGACGCUGAGACGCGAAAGCGUGGGGAGCAAACAGG
rnacentral:rRNA from 1 species